AAAAAGAAAAAAAAGGGGAAAAGGAUGAAAAUCGUAUCCGCUCGAUGUUAAACGUCGAAAACAAUAGAGCAAUUAGCAUAGCAGCCAAAGCGACGCAAGAGUCGGCCAAGUAAUACAGCGAGAUGGGAAGGAAAACUUUGCGUGGCCCCGCGACUCGUUUAACCAAGUUUACGUCCUGGAACUAGUAGGAUGGGAGGGGAAGCGCGACCCGAUGUAAACGGAGAAGAGAAACGGCGAGGAAGGAAUUGGCGGUGAUGUUGUUUCUGCAUUCGCGAUGUUUGCAAAGCACUUUUGCCGUUUCUAACUCUCUAAACCUCCGCCUGCUACCAGAGUUUCGCCUUUUUAUCGCUGACUCGGGGCCGACUGUUCUGCCACGUGGAAAAUAUGUCUCCGUUGGUUCGACGGCUCUCUCCCAUCCGAAGAAUCUCAUAGAUCAUAAGCGAUAAGCUCUCGAACGUGUCGGUCUCGGUGGAGCAAUCGAUAGGGCCAGUAUUUUCCACGUGCGAGAGAAUGUCCAAGUUUAUCUUCUUUCCCUCUCUUUCUCUCUAUUUUCCUCGAGUCGUGUCGUGUCGAGUCGAGUCGAGUCGAGUCGAGUCGAGUCGAGGGUGUGCACAGCAAUUAGAAAAAGACCAGAGGGAGGGUAGACUUAUAUAUGUGCUCUCGUGAGAUCCCCUCGUAAAGAUUAGAGAGAGAGAGAGAGAGAGAGAGAGAGAGAGAGAGAGAGAGGAGGCUCGCGUCGAAACAGGGAAGAUGUCUAAUCAGGGCGAAGAAAGGCAGUAAGUGCACGCGCGUGCGCGACACGAGGGAGGAUGAAGGUACAUCAUGAUAAGGGCGAUCGUGGCGAUACUUAUCGAAGACGGUGGCCUGAAAAUUGUCCGGGUCAAAGGGCAAACGGAACAGGGUGGAGUGCUCUCAAAGACGGUCACGUUUGUAAUUAUAGACUUCAUUCUCUCUCUCUCCCUCUCUCUCUCUCUCUCUCUCUCUCUCUCUCUAUUUCUCACUCCUCUGUCUCUCUCUCUCUCUCUCUCUCUACCUCUCUCAUUCUCUCUCCCAUUUCCACUUUAUUAGGAAAAUCUCCGAGGAUAGUUUUAUCCUAAAGGUCGCACCGGCCAACUCUCUUAUCCUUCGACAAUGAAACGAGUUUGGCUUAUCUUCUAAACAUUAAAUCAAAUUAGUUAAUGCCCGAUUAUUUUUGUACAUUAUCAUUGUACGUUAUUAAUUGCACGUUAACGUCGUGGGAUUAAAGAUCCCUGCUAGGUGGCAGAUCGAAUGCGGGAGGGCCAUGUCUGUAAUUACAGUUACGGACGCUCGACGAUCGUACCUCGUACGCUUCAUUAAGAAAAUUUCCCAGACUUUAUUUUAAACGAAGAUUAAACACCCUGGAUGGGAAAACGGCACCUUGGUAUCUCGAUCUCUCCGUCUUUCUCCUUUUACUCUCGUUUCUCUUUCGGCAUUAAUAUCGAUCGGAGAUACGCGUGCUUUUACCAACUAUUAUUCCUCUCCGUUUUUUAUUCGUUAGGAACAAUAAAAUGUGUUGACGAAUAUUCACGAAAUCGACACAAUAGGUAGUAGCAGCGAUUCGACGCUAAUAAGGUGCCUGUUUCGCGAGACUGCUACGAUGAUUAACAGUCUUCUCUCCCGGUUCACCACCAUUGUAGAAAAUAAAACCAGCCUGGAUUUCUCUCUCUCUCUCUCUCUCUUUAUUUUCCUCUUUCAGUUCGUCGAAAUAAUUACACGGAGAGCGUUAGGCGGAUACGCGAGACGGGGUAGCAAUUUAAGCUCGAAACAUUUUUUUCCCUUCGUUGCGUAUGGAAUAACCGCGAAAAGCGUGGGAAUGGAUAGAAACGAGAGAGAGAGAGAGAGAGAGAGAGAGAGGGAGAGAAAUGUGUUAUCGCGUUGAUAGCUGCGCUACACGCGCGUGUAUAUGUAUGCGAAAAGAAGAAGGAUGAAAAGAGAAGAAGAGGAAAAGAGAGAGGUAGAAGCGACAUUCAUUAAUCGACGCUGUGGCGUCGUCACCCUUUAAACGCGCAAAAGCCUUUGCGUCUCAUUAGUGUGUCACCGAGAGAAGGGUACGCCAGGUUGGAACACACUCUCGGUUAGACCUAUCCUGUCGCUCGUCACGACUCUUCAUUCUCUUUUUCAUUCCUUCAACCCUCCUCUCUCGAUCAUUCGUCGUCUCCUCCGCGCUUUCGAAACCGAAGAAGAAUCCGUAAAGAGAAGAGAGAAAAGAGGGUUGCAAGGGAAGAAGAGCGCGCGUGCCCUCUUCAUCGAAUGUGCCCUUUGUACUCGGUCUCAGUGAGGCUGACGUCGAGAGGAAGCGUCGAGAGAACGGAACGCGAUAACGCUGAACUUGGCGUGCAUAGAUGAUCUUUGGCGAAGGAAGGAAAUGACUUUGGGCUAAAUCUCGGAUUCUCUUUGGUCACUCGAAGCCGUAUAAAAGGCAAUAACGGAAGGCACGAUGGAUGAAGUGGAUAUCCUCUUCAUUGAAUGCACGCUUCGAGCCUUGGUACGGGACGGCUGCAGCCACGGCUGCGGCCACGAGUAUACGGAUACGUCGACGUCAACGGCGAAGACAAAGAGAAAGAAGAGCUCUUGGAAAACAGAGAACUACUACUACCGCCGCCGCCGCCGCCGCCGCCGCUGCCGCUUCCUCCUUCUUCCGCUCGUCCUCCCUCGCUCGCAUUCUCAUUCUUCUCUUCCACCCCACGAUUUUCGCCGGACGCGAUAACACUGAACUUGGAUCACGUCGUACGUUAUCGGAUCGAGAAUUAACGAUCAUGGCCUACAUUCGCAAAAAUCCCUACCCUCCCUACCCCUAUUCUCCCCCGUCGCCUUUUAUUUCUCACACGUUCGAUAAAGCUUGCCACGUUCUCGCGCUUCGCGCGUUUACCCACGUCUACGUAUGUCGAAACGCGUUGAAAUGUGACGAACUGUGUGUGAUUCGAUGGAAGAAGAGUAUCGAAGACGGAUUAUAUAAGCUGUCGAACGGGAGACGAACGGAGUACAGAGGGAUAGUCUGAAAUUCUAUUUCCUCGAUAGCAAGAGUUUCGCGUUUAGAAGGAAUCUAGGCGAAAGCUCGAGGAUAAAGGAGCAGAGGAUAGAAACGGAACGUCCUCGCGCGAUAACGGUUCGCUCGGUCUAGAGCAUACGUUACCGAAAGGUGCUGAUUCUCGAGAAGGAACACGGCAAGAGUUCUUUCGUGGCUGGCUAUCGAUCGAUCGAUCCUGGAUUAUCGACGAUUGAUCCGUUUACAUUGGUGCUCCAUUAUCGUCGGACCGACUUUGGAGGGUCAGGAGCCAGGGGGUAGACGGGGAGGGGGAGGGGUGGAGAAGUCUAGGACGCUCCGAGAUGUUCCCCGAUAGCUUUGUGCGAAGAAUCGGACGUAUUAUGUGCUCCUAUCCGCAAACUCGUAAAUCUCACCGAGUGACCGAUGAAUUCUUAAGAGACGACGAUCCCUUUUCUAACGAUCCUACUACUCGAGAGGGGAUGCCUCCAAUGGAAUAAAGGAAUUUGACCCCCUAUAAA